GCCCACAUAGCUCAGAUGGUAGAGCACGUCCUUGGUAAGGACGAGGUCACCGGUUCAAUUCCGGUUGUGGGCU
rnacentral:tRNA from 1 species